rnacentral:rRNA from 1 species
GUUAGGAAUAUUGGACAAUGGGCGAAAGCCUGAUCCAGCCAUGCCGCGUGAACGAUGAAGGCCUUCGGGUUGUAAAGUUCUUUAGCCGAUGAUUAUAAUGACUGUAGUCGGAAAAUAAGCCCCGGCUAACUUCGUGCCAGCAGCCGCGGUAAUACGAAGGGGGCGAGCGUUAUUCGGAAUCACUGGGCGUAAAGCGUGCGUAGGCGGUUUUGUAAGUUAGGAGUGAAAGCCCAGGGCUCAACCUUGGAAUUGCUCUCAAAACUACAAGACUUGAAUUCGGGAGAGGAUAGCGGAAUUGUCAGUGUAGCAGUGAAAUGCGUAGAUAUUGACAGGAACACCAGUGGCGUAAGCGGCUAUCUGGACCGACAUUGACGCUGAGGCACGAAAGCGUGGGGAUCAAACAGGAUUAGAAACCCCAGUAGUCC